GCCCCCUCGAGUCAUUUGACCUCAAAGUUGACAGGACAGAGAUGGGGAUCUAACUAUGUUGACUUUUAAAGCAAUUUAUAUGAAAUAGUUCUUAUACUAAUGGCAAGUCCGAUCUGCUUAGUAAUAAUAAUAAUAAAGAAAUGAAUCUUAACUGGUGCAUUUCCAACUAAAUAAAAGAAUUCGUUCCCUAAACCAUGAUUCGACCACUCUAACCCAACCUUCCUAAGAUAAAACACAUAUUUUUCAAACAAGUCCCAUUGCCAAAGUAAAGACUUAGAAGUGUAUUAAGUGUAGCCACAUCUUGGGGCUACCACUUCCAACCACACAUUAAAUUAAUAAAAAUAAAAAUAACUCCCA
rnacentral:lncRNA from 1 species